rnacentral:rRNA from 1 species
UACGUAGGGUGCAAGCGUUGUCCGGAAUUAUUGGGCGUAAAGAGCUUGUAGGCGGUUUGUCGCGUCUGCUGUGAAAUUUCGGGGCUCAACCCCGAACUUGCAGUGGGUACGGGCAGACUAGAGUGUGGUAGGGGAGACUGGAAUUCCUGGUGUAGCGGUGAAAUGCGCAGAUAUCAGGAGGAACACCGGUGGCGAAGGCGGCGCUCUGGGCCGGUACUGACGCUGAGGAGCGAAAGCGUGGGGAGCAAACAGG